UCUGAAAACACCGGUUCUCGUUCGAUCACCGAAGUUAAGCAAUCGUGAGAGCCAGGUCAAAUCACGUAAAACUUAGAUGGGGACCGCUUGGGAACACCUGGUACUGUAAG